UACGAAGGGGGCUAGCGUUGCUCGGAAUCACUGGGCGUAAAGGGUGCGUAGGCGGGUUUUUAAGUCAGGGGUGAAAUCCUGGAGCUCAACUCCAGAACUGCCUUUGAUACUGAAGAUCUUGAGUCCGGGAGAGGUGAGUGGAACUGCGAGUGUAGAGGUGAAAUUCGUAGAUAUUCGCAAGAACACCAGUGGCGAAGGCGGCUCACUGGCCCGACACUGACGCUGAGGCACGAAAGCGUGGGGAGCAAACAGG
rnacentral:rRNA from 1 species